rnacentral:lncRNA from 1 species
UGAUUAUUAUCCUUGUUAUGAUAAAGCAUGAUCAAUUGUUGAAUCCGAAUUCUUGAUAUGAACCAGUAUAUAUUUUGAAUUGAAUUCUGAAUUGAUAGCUCCUCAUUUGAUUGAUGUCAUGAGUUGAGCCUUGAGAUAUGAAUAUGUCUGUUUGAUUAUGAUUAUGAACCUAUGGUAUGUCAGUCAGAAUACCCAUGCUAACAGGGUAGUGUUAGUCUUUGUGCACAUCGUAUCUGAACCCUAGUUGGUCGGGGGAGUCACCAACCUGUGUGGACUGAUCAUCCCACAGUACGGAGCCUCAUGCUCAUUGCAUUUUGAUUUUCUGACGAACUUUACCAUUUGAUCUUCUUGUUAUGGCCUAUUUGAGAAACCUUUCUAUAAGAACCUAGAGCCAUACUUGUAUAUAUAUUUCUCAUUGUUUUAUUACCUCGUGUGUGUAUAUUGAACGUUAUCUACUCACUGAGUUGUUGAACUCACCAUCUCAUUAUUUAUCCUUUUCAGGCUUAUAGCUUGAUAGCAGGUCAUUUUGUUGGACCUUCAGAACCUGCUUUUUGGUUGUAAUUUGUACCUUCCUUUUAUGUCAAGUUAGUGCUCCAAAACUAUGAAUUAUAUUAACUCUUGUAUUAAGACAAUUCAAUUAUAUUAUGAAGUUGAUUUUGUUGUUAAUGCUGCGUUGAACUCUGAUUGAGUUAGGAUAAGUUUGUGUGUAAGUUUGGGUUCGCAUAGGUAUGGAACCUUGGAGGGGAACCUUGCCUAUGUGCCGGUCAUGGAUCCGGGAUUCGGGUCGUGACAAACUUGGUAUCAGAGCUUUAGGUUAAAGAAACAAUAAAAUAAUUAAAUUCGUAAUAAGUGGAGCAUUAGGAUCCGUGUUGUCUUGUUUGUUGCCUUUGAAAUUCCGAAUUCUCAUUAAGCAUGUCUUCUUCCUUGUGAUAGAUAUGUUUUCCUAUAAUUCUAUGAUAAUUAUCAUGCUAUUGUUCUAGCAUGACUUGAGUGCUCUCACUUUUAUUUUAGGAAAUGUCGAGGAAUAGACGAAUAGCUGAUACUGUUAGAGUAGAGGAUGAUCAGGAUGAUGUCCCUAUUGGGCGGUUGAGAACUGCAAGGCAGAGAAGGAGGCGCGGUGCACCCGUGCCUCAACAUGUUGAGGAGGUACCUCCACCAGUGGAGGAAGAGCCUCAGGAGAUAGAAGAGGAAGAUAUUGUUGAUGAAACAGGUGUGGGGGUAGCUGACCCUGAACCUGUUACAGAGUUUCAGCAACUUAGCCAGGUUGUGCGGACCUGGAUAGAGUUUUCUAUGGAGAGAGAUAGAAGGAGGGAUAGAGAUGUACCCUCGACAUCCCACACUGUUCAGGGAGUUAAUGUGCCGUUGAAUGACUUCAUGAAGUUGGCACCUCCUAUUUUUACUGGGAUGGAUAGUUCAGAGGAUCCUCAGAGGUUCUUAGAUGAUAUUUGGCGACGGUGUGAAGCUUUGGGAUGUACAGACCACCGAGCUGUGAGUUUGGCAUCGUUCAGGUUGGAAGGAGAUGUGGCAAUCUCUUGGUUUGAGUCUAGGAAAAGAGCAAGACCAGUAGAGGCUCAGUGGACAUGGAAGGAGUUUAGCUCCAUGUUCUUAGACAGGUUUCUCCCUCAGAGCGUCAGGGAUGCUCGACUUUAUGAGUUUGAGAGGCUAUCUCAGGGGAGCAUGACAGUGGAUGAGUAUGAUCUGAAGUUUACUCAGCUGUCUAGGUAUGCAGAGCAUCUUCUACCCACUGAGGAGUGGAGGGUGAAGAGGUUUAUUAGAGGACUCAAAUCCUCUAUGUAUAUGGUGAUGGUGUCACAGGUGUUUCCAUCAUACUCCUCAGCUGUUGAUAGCGCCAGGUUGAUAGAGGCGCGAGAAUUAGAGCCAGUCUAAGAGGCCUAGAGAAGAGGGUCAGUCUUUUAGGCAACAGGGAUUAAGUGCAGGUCCGUCUAGGGGACGAAGCGGCCGUCAGGGCUCAUGGGUUCAGAGGAGGUUUAGACAGAGACCGUCAGUUAGUGGCUCAGGCGGUCAGAGUGGCAGUAGUGGUACUCAGAGUUUAGUUCAAACUGCACCUCGUAGUUCAUUUAUUACACCUAGUGAUAGUUCUUCAUGUCAGCACUGUGGAGGAAGUCAUACUAGUGCAGAGUGCUACAGAAGGACCGGGGCUUGUUUUAGUUGUGGCCAGAUAGGUCAUAAGAUCAGAGAGUGCCCGAGGAGACAGUUGUCAGCUUCAGGGUUAUCUGCUUCAGUCCAACAUCCUAUUCAGGCACCAUCGACGAGCCAGUCUGUGGCUCAUGGGGGUAGAGGUUUUGGUGGCCGUGGUCAGAGAGGCCGGGGUGCAGGUGAUAGAGGUCAGAUACAGCAGGGUCAGGGGCAUGCUAGAGUUUUUGCCUUGACUCAGCAGGAUGCUCAGGCAUCCAACACAGUUGUUUCAGGUAUUCUUCCUGUUUGCUCUUUUGAAGCAAAAGUGUUGUUUGAUACGGGUGCAACCCAUUCAUUUAUGUCCCCAUAUUUUGCCAUGAGGUUAGAUAAACAACCAACCUUGUUAAAAUCCCCCAUUUCAGUCUCCACUCCCUUAGAUGAAUUAAUAUUAGUGAAGUAUGUGUAUCUGGAUUGUGAAAUAGAGAUUGGAGAUAAAAAUUUUAUGGGAGACUUAAAUGUCUUAGAUAUGGUUGAUUUUGAUGUGAUUUUGGGAAUGGAUUGGUUGGCAAAGCAUAGGGCUUCGGUAAAUUGUUGGGGUAAGAAAAUAAUAUUUGAUCUAGAUGAAGAAGUUGGGUUGGUAUUUCAAGGAGAUAAGAUUGGGUCUCCAUCAAUUAUGUUGUCGGCUAUCUCGAGGAAAAUGGCCAGAAAAGGGGUACAGUGCUACCUAGCAUAUAUAAUGGAUGUAGAGAAAGAAGUUUCCCAGUUAGACCAAGUCCCUAUAGUUAGGGAGUUUAUUGAUGUCUUUCCCGAUGACUUACCUGGAUUGCCUCCGUAUAGGGAGAUUGAGUUUUGUAUUGAUUUGGUUCCGGGUACCGAACCAAUAUCAAUGGCACCAUAUAGAAUGGCGCCAGCAGAAUUGAGGGAGCUAAAGGAGCAACUGCAGGAUUUGUUAGAUAAAAAGUUCAUCCGACCAAGUGUGUCCCCUUGGGGAGCCCCAGUGUUGUUUGUGAAGAAGAAAGAUGGGUCAUUGAGGUUGUGUAUAGAUUAUAGGCAACUGAAUCGGGUGACUGUUCGAAAUAGAUACCCACUCCCUCGCAUUGAUGAUUUGUUUGACCAGUUGCAGGGAGCUCAAUUCUUUUCUAAGAUCGAUCUUCGAUCUGGGUAUCAUCAGUUGAGGAUUAGGGAGUCAGACAUUUUGAAGACAGCUUUUAGAACUCGGUAUGGUCAUUAUGAGUUCUUAGUGAUGUCUUUUGGGUUGACGAAUGCACCAGCAGCUUUUAUGGAUUUGAUGAAUAGAGUGUUUGGCCAGUUUAUUGAUCAAUUUGUGAUAGUUUUUAUUGAUGAUAUUUUGGUGUAUUCGAGGUCUAGAGAGGAGCAUGAGCAGCACUUGAGAAUGGUGCUUCAAACUCUGCGAGACCAUCAGCUGUAUGGCAAGUUCUCAAAGAGUGAGUUUUGGUUGGAGAGUGUAGCAUUUCUUGGGCAUGUAGUGUCAAGGAAUGGGAUUGAGGUUGAUCCUCAAAAGAUUGAAGCAGUUAAGCAGUGGCUUAGGCCUACUUCGGCGACAGAGAUUAGAAGUUUCUUAGGUUUGGCCGGCUAUUAUCGGAGGUUUGUGGAGAACUUUUCUCGGAUUUCUGCACCAUUGACUAAGUUAACGCAGAAAAAUGUUAAGUUUCAGUGGUCUGAAGCUUGUGAGAAAAGUUUCUUGGAGUUGAAAGAGAGAUUGACUACAGCGCCUGUUCUAGCAGUACCAUCAGGUUCUGGUGGUUACACAGUGUAUUGUGAUGCUUCGAGAGUGGGGUUAGGAUGUGUUCUAAUGCAGCAUGGCAAGGUUAUUGCCUAUGCUUCACGGCAGCUGAAGAAGCAUGAACAGAACUAUCCUACACAUGAUUUAGAGAUGACGGCUGUAAUUUUUGCCUUGAAGAUUUGGAGGCACUACUUGUAUGGUGAAACUUGUGAGAUCUUCACAGAUCACAAGAGUUUGAAAUACAUCUUUCAGCAGAGGGAUCUAAACCUGAGGCAGAGGAGAUGGAUGGAAUUGCUGAAGGAUUAUGAUUGUACCAUACAUUACCACCCGGGUAAGGCAAAUGUAGUUGCCGAUGCUUUGAGUAGAAAAUCAUCAGGGAGCUUAGCUCAUAUUCAGGAGGUACGAAGACCUCUGAUUAGAGAGCUGCAUGAGUUGGUGGAUGAAGGAGUCAGAUUUGAUCUUAGUGAAGCUGGAGCAAUGAUUGCUCAUUUUCAGGUUAAGUCAGAUUUGUUUGAUAAGAUAAAAGCAGCUCAGAAGAAAGAUGAUUCACUACUCAGGAUUAGAAAUGAGGUUGAGCAGGGUAAGGCUGCAGGUUUUGUGAUAGGUGAUGAUGAUGUGCUGAGAUAUAAGGAUAGGCUUUGUGUACCUGAUGUAGAUGAUCUGAGGAGAGAAUUGAUGGUAGAGGCACAUCAGACAGUUUACACAGUGCAUCCAGGUUCCACCAAGAUGUAUAAAGACCUUAAGGUGUGUUAUUGGUGGAAUAGGAUGAAGGCUGAUGUAGCAGACUUUGUUUCUAGGUGUUUGACCUGUCAGAGGGUAAAGGGUGAACACCAGAAACCUCCUGGAUUGUUGCAACCAUUGUUGAUUCCAGAAUGGAAGUGGGAAAGGAUCACAAUGGACUUUGUGACAGGAUUGCCUAGGAGUCAGGAGGGUUAUGAUUCAAUAUGGGUGAUUGUUGACAGGUUGACAAAAUCAGCCCAUUUUCUGCCAGUUAGGAUUACUUAUGGAUAUGCAAAGUUGGCAGAAUUAUUUAUUAGUGAGAUUGUACGGUUGCAUGGAGUGCCAAUCUCGAUAGUGUCUGAUAGAGGUCCACAGUUUACAUCGCGGUUUUGGGUGAAAUUCCAAGAAGCUAUGGGUACUAAAGUGCAGUUGAGUACAGCUUUUCACCCUCAGACAGAUGGUCAAUCUGAGAGGACUAUUCAGAUCUUGGAGGAUAUGCUAAGGGCUUGUGUCAUGGAUUUUGGAGUUGGUUGGAGUAAGUUCCUACCAUUAGUGGAAUUUGCUUACAACAACAGUUAUCAGACUAGCAUAGAGAUGGCACCUUAUGAGGCUUUGUAUGGUCGGAAGUGUAGAUCACCGGUUUGUUGGUUUGAGGUUGGUGAGAAGAGGCUAAUGGGACCAGAGUUGAUUCAGAUUACCUCAGAGAAGAUAGAGGUAAUUAGAAAUAAGCUUCAAACAGCUCAGAGCAGACAAAAGAGUUACGCAGAUAAAAGAAGGCGUGACUUAGAGUUUUCAGUGGGUGACUGUGUGUUCUUAAAAGUAUCACCGACAAAAGGAGUAUUCAGGUUUGGGAAGAAAGGCAAGUUGAGUCCUCGGUUCAUUGGACCGUAUGAGAUUCUGGAGAGAGUUGGGGCAGUUGCUUAUAGGUUAGCAUUACCACCAAACUUGUCCGCUAUUCAUCCGGUAUUUCAUGUUUCAAUGCUAAGAAAGUAUAUGUCAGAUCCAUCGCAUGUAUUAGAGGUUUAUCCCAUUGAAUUGAGGGAUGAUAUGGUUUAUGAGGUGCAAACAGAAGCUAUAGUCGACCAACAAGUGAGGAAGCUUAGGUCAAAGGAUAUAGCUUCAGUAAAAGUGAAAUGGAAAGGUCAUUCACGUGAGGAAGCGACAUGGGAGCUCGAGGAUAAGAUGCGUGAGGAGUACCCUCAUCUUUUCGAUAAUCUCGGUAAGUAUUCAAUCUUUUCUAUUAAGUUUCGAGGACGAAACUUUUAUAAGGUGGGGAGAUUGUAAUGUUUUGAAUAUAAAGAGUUAGGAAAAUACAACAAAGCCCUUGGUGGCUUAAAGAGUGGGUAUAAUUAAAUGAGGGGUAUUGUAGUAAUUGUAUAAAGAGAUGAUAUAUAUAAAUAGGAAGUAAAAAAAUGAAAAAAAAAAGAGAAGAGGGAUCUGAAAAAUUGAAAGAGUAAACCGUGAGAGAGAAAGGAGAAAGAAGAAGAAGAAGAGAAAAGAGGGAAAUUAGAAAGGAAAUAGAAAGGAGUUGGAGGAAAUAAGUAAAAAGGUAAGAUUAUGUAUAAAUAUAUGUUAAUUAAGCUUUAAUUUCGAUUUUGAUAAAUGUUAGGGUUAUGAAAUUUGUGUUUUGGGUUUGAUUGAUGAGUUAAUUUGAAUGUUAUAGAGUUAAUUGUUAUGGGUAUUUGAUUAUUUGGAUGAUUUUGAGAGAUUGAAUUGAAAGAUGAUGAUUUUGAGUUAUGAUUUUGUUUGAAUGGUGAAAUUGUGUUAGGAAUUUGGAGAGAACAGUAGGUUUCUGUUAAAAAUUCUGGGUUGGAGGUUGAAGAUGACAAAAUUUCGGUUUGGUCCCUCAAUUUUGGAAAAUUACAGUUUAGUCCCCAAACUUUGGAAAAUUUGCAGAUUGGUCCCUGGAGCAUAUUCCGAGAUUCUGAACAGAAUAACAUAUGAAUUAUGGACAGAAUUACUGUAUAGAUAAGAGAAUUUAACACUUUCAAUUUAGUCCUUCAAUUUGACAAAAAUUACAAUUUAACCCUAAAAAUUUGGUAAAAUUCCAGAAUGGUCCUUGGAGUAUAAUGAGAUGAUCUGGACAGAAAUGAGGACUAAUUAUGGUCAGAAUUUCAGUAUAUUCAUGGAUUUAUGAUAAAUUUCAGUUUGGUCCUCCAAUUGGACAAAAAUUGCAAUUUGACCCUUAAAAUAGGAUAAAUUACAGAUUGGUCCCUAGCUGUAAUAUUAGCCUUUUCAGAUUAGUUUGAUGAAUAAUUAAGGGUUAUUUAGUGAAUUAUUGCCAAUUUUAUUAGUUAAGUUUAUUAAAUAGGUUAAAUGUUCUUUUGAGUCGUUCUUGAAUAUGUCUCCUUUGUAUUCAGAUAAUCCUGAUAUUCUACCGACAGGACGUCAGUAGGAUUUUCUUCGGUGUCUGCUUUUGGCUUCUGUUUGCUUUUGAGUCAGGUGAGUGGAUAAUUUUCCAUAUGCAUGAGAAAUAGUAUAAAUAUUUGAUUUGUUAUUAUGAAUUGAAUCAUGCUUCUUGAUAAUAUAUAUGUUGAUUAUUAUCCUUGUUAUGAUAAAGCAUGAUCAAUUGUUGAAUCCGAAUUCUUGAUAUGAACCAGUAUAUAUUUUGAAUUGAAUUCUGAAUUGAUAGCUCCUCAUUUGAUUGAUGUCAUGAGUUGAGCCUUGAGAUAUGAAUAUGUCUGUUUGAUUAUGAUUAUGAACCUAUGGUAUGUCAGUCAGAAUACCCAUGCUAACAGGGUAGUGUUAGUCUUUGUGCACAUCGUAUCUGAACCCUAGUUGGUCGGGGGAGUCACCAACCUGUGUGGACUGAUCAUCCCACAGUACGGAGCCUCAUGCUCAUUGCAUUUUGAUUUUCUGACGAACUUUACCAUUUGAUCUUCUUGUUAUGGCCUAUUUGAGAAACCUUUCUAUAAGAACCUAGAGCCAUACUUGUAUAUAUAUUUCUCAUUGUUUUAUUACCUCGUGUGUGUAUAUUGAACGUUAUCUACUCACUGAGUUGUUGAACUCACCAUCUCAUUAUUUAUCCUUUUCAGGCUUAUAGCUUGAUAGCAGGUCAUUUUGUUGGACCUUCAGAACCUGCUUUUUGGUUGUAAUUUGUACCUUCCUUUUAUGUCAAGUUAGUGCUCCAAAACUAUGAAUUAUAUUAACUCUUGUAUUAAGACAAUUCAAUUAUAUUAUGAAGUUGAUUUUGUUGUUAAUGCUGCGUUGAACUCUGAUUGAGUUAGGAUAAG